CGGCGCUGGCGUAGCUCGGCUCAGCCCGGCGGAGUCUGACUUCCGGAGGGCCAGCGGCGCGCUGGCUGGUUACCAAGGUUACCGCCGAGAGGCCGCGUCCUCAGCUGGUCCUAGACAUGCGUGGCGUCGGGGCUGUGGCACGGUCGGGUCCGGGGUCCUGGUUCCCAUUUGUAAUUGGCACCCUAAUGAAACCGUUUUCUGUAGCCCUGGAAAUGGCUGAAAAUGAGGGGAGGGAAAUAAAGUGCUAUAAUUCAGAGCAUGGAGCACACCUUCCUGGUUCACCUGAGCUGGAUUCGGAGAGGUAAAAUGGCCAUUACCUCGUCUAAGCUGCCACUUACAGACACAGUACAGGAUGAGGCCCAGACCCACAGAGACAACGAUGAUGGCCACAGCUAAGAUGAUCCAGAAAUUAUUCCUCCACCAGCUCAUUGCAGUGGAAUCCUGAGAAGAAUGGAGAGAGAAGAAUGAGGUAUGAAUGAAAGAUAUCCUGGGGUUGGGUGGAGUGGGGCAGUUAUCUACUGUGGGUUGUUUUUUUUUUCUUUUCUGAGUCGGAGUCUCACUCUGUCGCCCAGGCUGGAGUGCAAUGACGUGAUCUCAGCUCUCAGCUCACUGCAACCUCCACCUCCCGGGUUCAAGUGAUUCUCCUGCCUCAGCCUCCAGAGUAACGGGGACUACAGGCACCUGCCACCACGCCUGGCUAAUUUUUGUAUUUUUAGUAGAGAUGGGGUUUCGCCACGUUGGCCAGGCUGGUCUGGAACUCCUGACCUCAGGUGAUUCACCUGUCUUGGCCUCCCAAAGUACUGGGAUUACAGACAUGAGCCACCGUGCCCAGCUAAUCUACUGUGUUGUGUAGAGAUGCAGACAUCUGCUUAGGAAUCAGGCACUGGAUCACAGCCAUACCCUACUCAUUAACACCUGGGGGACCUCAGGCAUGUCACUCGACCUUCUGUGAGCCUCAUCUAUAAUAUGGGAAUGAUAUCUCCUACUUCACUGAGGUUUGUGAGGACUGGAGAUCGAACAUGUACCUACUGGGCCCUCUAGAAAUGGUAGACAUCAUCACUGCUCUUUCAGACAUGCAGCAGGAGGGGGAAGGUGCCAUUUAAAGCAAUAAUUGACUGCAGGGUUGUUUUUUUUCUUGAGACGGAGUCUCGCUCUGUAACUCAGGCUGGAGUGCAGUGGCGCGAUCUGGGCUCUCUGCAAACUCUGCUUCCUGGGUUCACAUCAUUCUCCUGCCUCAGCCUCCCGAGUAGCUGGGACUACAGGCGCCCACGACCACGCCCGGCUGAUUUUUUUGUAUUUUUUUAGUAGAGACGGGGUUUCACCGUGUUAGCCAGGAUAGUCUCGAUCUCCUGACCUCGUGAUCUGCCUGCCUCGGCCUCCCAAAGUGCUGGGAUUACAGGCGUGAGCCACUGCACCAGGCCAGUUUUUUUGUUUGUUUGUUUGUUUGUUUGUUUGUUUGUUUUUUGAGACAGAGGCUUGCUCUGUCGCCCAGGCUGGAGUGCAGUGGCGCGAUCUUGGCUCACUGCAACCUCUGCCUCCCAAGCAAUUCUCCUGCCUCAGCCUCCUGAGUAGCUGGGAUUAAAGGUGUGUGCCACCUCGCCUGGCUAAUUUUUAUAUUUUUAGUAGAGACGGGGUUUCAUCAUGUUGGCCAAGCUAGUCUCGAACUCCUGACCUUGUGAUCUACCUGCCUCGGCCUCCCAAAGUGCUAGGAUUAUAGGUGCAAGCCACCAUGCCCAGCCAGUUGUUUUUAAUCACAAGGACAAGUCAGACUUAAUGCAUAGCAGGGGAGAGAAAUUUUGAGAGCUUUUGUUUGAGUUGAGGGUUAGAAAAAUAGCUGGAUGGGUCUCUUUGAGUGAGUUAUGGUCAGAAGGGUGAAGCUGAAGAUACAGGGCAAACUGAGUUGAUCUGCAUGAGAGAGUUAACAGGCAUUUGGGGGCUGGAAGCUGACAGACCAGAGACCGGGAAAGUCUCGGAAAAGGUUAGCAGCAGAGUGAGAGGUCAAGAAGAGAGCACAAGUCAGAUCCUGGUUAGGAAGCUCCCAUAGUGGCAAAUGACCAAGGCGUUUCUAGGACAGUAAUGCCUCAUGUCCAGCCUUAAAUUGCUACCUAG
rnacentral:lncRNA from 1 species